GACUACAAGAUUAUUGACGGCACCAAUAACGCUAUUGGCAAUGACAAUGACAGACAACAAUAAAGUUAGUGAUGAUACGAGAACUAAGAAAAGAUGAAGACACGAGGGUGACAAUGAUAAGGGUUAUUAGAUGUGAGAGAAGCGUGGGUGCCGAGACUAAACUAACGUAAGUGCGGUGUACAAUUGUUAGCACGAUAAUUAAUUUGGAUACGACGCAUACGUGACAUUUUUAAUAAAUUUUUAAAUAAUGAUCAUGAUACUAUCGUAAAUAUAUACUACGUAUAAUAUACUGAACGUUGUUUCUAAUGACACGUUUACUUAGCAAAAUCAAAUAAACGCAAUUUCUUGUUAUCGCCGUUGCCCUCA